rnacentral:rRNA from 1 species
CCCUUAGACGUUCUGGGCCGCACGCGCGCUACACUGACACAGGCAACGAGCUUUCCUUUACCGAAAGGUAUGGGUAAUCUUUUGAAACUGUGUCGUGCUGGGGAUAGAUCCUUGCAAUUUUUGAUCUUAAACGAGGAAUUCCUAGUAAGCGCGAGUCAUCAACUCGCGUUGAUUACGUCCCUGCCCUUUGUACACACCGCCCGUCGCUACUACCGAUUGAACGGCUUAGUGAGGCCUCAGGAUCCGCGCUUAAUGUGUGGAGAAUUUGGACAAACUACGUCAUUUAGAGGAAGUAAAAGUCGUAACA